UACGUAGGGACCAAGCGUUGUUCGGAUUUACUGGGCGUAAAGGGCGCGUAGGCGGCAAUUCAAGUCAUCUGUGAAAUCUCCGGGCUUAACCCGGAACGGUCAAAUGAUACUGCUUUGCUAGAGUGCGGAAGGGGCAAUCGGAAUUCUCGGUGUAGCGGUGAAAUGCGUAGAUAUCGAGAGGAACACCUGAGGUGAAGACGGGUUGCUGGGCCGACACUGACGCUGACAGCGCGAAAGCCAGGGGAGCAAACGGG
rnacentral:rRNA from 1 species